GAAAGCCUGACAGAGCAAUACCGCGUGAGGGAAUAUAGAAAGCCUGCGGGUUGUGAACCUCUUUUCUCAAAGAAGAAGAUCUGACGGUAUUUGAGGAAUAAGCAUCGGCUAACUCCGUGCCAGCAGCCGCGGUAAUACGGGAGAUGCAAGCGUUAUCCGGAAUCACUGGGCGUAAAGCGUCUGCAGGUGGUUUAUUAAGUCCUUUGUUAAAUUCUGAGGCUUAACCUAAGGUCUGCAAAGGAAACUAAUAAUCUUGAGUAUGGUAGAGGUAGAGGGAAUUUCCAGUGGAGCGGUGAAAUGCGUAGAUAUUGGAAAGAACACCGAGGGCGAAAGCACUCUACUGGGCCAUAACUGACACUCAGAGACGAAAGCUAGGGGAGCA
rnacentral:rRNA from 1 species